GUGUCUCAGCACACAUGUUUAAAUUAGGAUGAUACGGGGAAGAUCAGGGUGGCCCCUGCUCAAGGACAACAUGCAAAUCCAAGAAAUGCCACAAAGUUUA
rnacentral:snRNA from 1 species